UACGUAGGGUCCGAGCGUUGUCCGGAGUUACUGGGCGUAAAGGGCGCGCAGGCGGCGGUGCUGGCCCGGCGUGAAAGCCCCCCGGCUCAACCGGGGAGGGUCGUCGGGGACCGCACCGCUUGAGGGCGGUAGGGGCUGGUGGAAUGCCUGGUGUAGUGGUGAAAUGCGUAGAGAUCAGGCGGAACACCCGUGGCGAAGGCGGCCAGCUGGGCCGACCCUGACGCUGAGGCGCGAAGGCGUGGGGAGCGAACGGG
rnacentral:rRNA from 1 species